rnacentral:rRNA from 1 species
AUUGAACGCUGGCGGCAGGCCUAACACAUGCAAGUCGAGCGGAGCGGCGGACGGGUGAGUAAUGCCUAGGACUCUGCCUGGUAGUGGGGGAUAACGUCCGGAAACGGGCGCUAAUACCGCAUACUAUCAGAUGAGCCUGGGUCGGAUUGGCUAGUUGGUGGGGGAAGGGCAUACCAAGGCGACGAUCCCUAACUGGUCUGAGAGGAUGAGCAGUCACACUGGAACUGAGACACGGUCCAGACUCCUACGGGAGGCAGCAGUGGGGAAUAUUGGACAAUGGGCGAAAGCCUGAUCCAGCCAUGCCGCGUGUGUGAAGAAGGCCUUCGGAUUGUAAAGCACUUUAAGUUGGGAGGCGUUACCAACAGAAGAAGCACCGGCUAACUCCGUGCCAGCAGCCGCGGUAAUAC